UACGUAGGGUGCGAGCGUUGUCCGGAAUUACUGGGCGUAAAGAGCUCGUAGGUGGUCUGUCGCGUCAUUUGUGAAAGCCCGGGGCUUAACUCCGGGUUGGCAGGUGAUACGGGCAUGACUGGAGUACUGUAGGGGAGACUGGAAUUCCUGGUGUAGCGGUGAAAUGCGCAGAUAUCAGGAGGAACACCGGUGGCGAAGGCGGGUCUCUGGGCAGUAACUGACGCUGAGGAGCGAAAGCAUGGGUAGCGAA
rnacentral:rRNA from 1 species